GAUGAAUCCUUUGCAGACGACUUAAAUAUGGGACGAGGUAUUGUAAGCGGCAGAGUAGCCUUGCUGCUACGAUCCGCUGAGAUUCAGCCUCCUGUCCCAAAGAUUU
rfam:Marchantia polymorpha subsp. polymorpha scaffold4877, whole genome shotgun sequence.